AAUCAACGCUGGCGGCGUGCCUCAGACAUGCAAGUCGAACGCGAAAGGCCCCUUCGGGGGCCGGGUAGAGUGGCGCACGGGUGAGUAACACGUAGGUAAUUUGCCUUCGGGUGGGGAAUAACAGCCGGAAACGGCUGCUAAUACCGCAUAAUGCAGCGGCUCGACAUCGAGACAGUUGUUAAAGCGGGGAGCAGCAAUGCCCUCGCGCCUGAAGAGAAGCCUGCGGCAGAUUAGCUAGUUGGCAGGGUAAUGGCCUACCAAGGCGACGAUCUGUAACCGGCCUGAGAGGGCGGUCGGUCACACUGACACUGACAUACGGGUCAGACUCCUACGGGAGGCAGCAGUCGGGAAUUUUGGGCAAUGGGCGAAAGCCUGACCCAGCAACGCCGCGUGAAGGAUGAAAU
rnacentral:rRNA from 1 species